rnacentral:rRNA from 1 species
GUAGGAAUCUACCUCUUGGUGGGGAAUACCUUCGAGAAAUCGGAGUUAAUACCGCAUAAGACCACACGGUGAAAGGGCUUAACUGCCCGCCGAGAGAAGAGCCUGCGGCCUAUCAUGCUUGUUGGUGAGGUAAUGGCUCACCAAGGCUACAACGGGUAGGGGGCGUGAGAGCGUGUACCCCCAGAAUGGCACUGAGAUACGGGC